AGCGGAGGAAAAGAAACCAACAGGGAUUGCCCUAGUAACGGCGAGUGAAGCGGCAACAGCUCAAAUUUGAAAUCUGGCCUCGGCCCGAGUUGUAAUUUGCAGAGGAUGUUUCUGGCGCGGUGCCUUCCGAGUUCCCUGGAACGGGACGCCACAGAGGGUGAGAGCCCCGUAUGGUUGGACACCAAGCCUGUGUGAAACUCCUUCGACGAGUCGAGUAGUUUGGGAAUGCUGCUCUAAAUGGGAGGUAAAUCUCUUCUAAAGCUAAAUACCGGCCAGAGACCGAUAGCGCACAAGUAGAGUGAUCGAAAGAUGAAAAGCACCUUGAAAAGGGGGUUAAACAGUACGUGAAAUUGUUGAAAGGGAAGCGCUCAUGACCAGACUUGUGCCGGGCGGCUCAUCCGGGGUUCUCCCCGGUGCACUCCGCCCGGCUCAGGCCAGCAUCGGUUCUCGUUGGGGGAUAAGAACGGUAGGAACGUGGCCCUCCCUCGGGAGGGUGUUAUAGCCCGCCGUACGAUACCCUGACGGGGACCGAGGUUCGCGCUCCGCAAGGAUGCUGGCGUAAUGGUCAUCAGCGACCCGUCUUGAAACACGGACCAAGGAGUCGUCCAUUAGAGCGAGCGUUUGGGUGUAAAACCCGCACGCGUAAUGAAAGUGAAAUUAGGUGAGAGCUUCGGCGCAUCAUCGACCGAUCCUGAUGUUCUCGGAUGGAUUUGAGUAAGAGUUUUAACGGACGGACCCGAAAGACAGUGAACUAUGCUUGUAUAGGGUGAAGCCAGAGGAAACUCUGGUGGAGGCUCGCAGCGGUUCUGACGUGCAAAUCGAUCGUCAAAUAUGAGCAUGGGGGCGAAAGACUAAUCGAAC
rnacentral:rRNA from 1 species